rnacentral:tRNA from 1 species
CGCCCUGCGGAAAGCAGGCGGGGCAGGAGCGCCGCUCUCCUAAAGCGGGUGUCGCAGGUUCGAAUCCUGCCGGGGCGC